rnacentral:snRNA from 1 species
AGGUACAAAGGUGAUUUGGCUAUGAUGUCUGUCAUCCUAUUGAUCAGUUGAUUUAGCUGAUUUGGCUGGCUGGGUGGAUGUUUCCUUCAUCCUUCACCAGUCCACAUGUGUCCUUCCCAAGGCUGCACACGUGGUGGAAGAGGCCCUUUCCCAACACAGGAAGAUCAUUCUUGAUUGAUCUAUGCAUAGCUCAAUCCCUUGUUAGAACCUCCAAACAAACUUUGAGGGUCCAUUUGAAGGAGAAUGUAGGGUGUUCAACCUGUCAGGAUUCCAGAUACAUCCAAAUGAGGUGCUACAUGUGGCAGUCUGCCUUUCUUU